GGUACUAAAGGAAGGCAGCAGGGCAGCACAGCGAGAGCAAAGGCUGUGGGGUAGACCACUUGCGCACAGCAUCGUGGGAGGAUAAGGCAGCAGAGCACAGUGAGAGAAAAGGCAGCAGAGCUGGCUACUUGCGCACAGCAUAGUGGGAGGAUAAGGCCGCAGAGCAUAGUGAGAAAUGCUGGCAGAACCUGCAUUUCUAAGUAGAGCAGCUUCUACUUGCUUAAAAUGGCAAUCUUCUACAAGAAAUACCAAUAAAUCCCAUGCUAAGCUCCUUAUAUACGCGAGAAUUCGCCCUUCUCAUUCCAUGGAUGACGAGAACAAGGUCUACAAAGAACUAGGUGUGUUUCCUUCUGCCUUUUAUCUUUCUCUGUAUAUUUGAUUGUAUUAACACUUGUUUCUUUUUGCCUUUCUCUGUUUGGGGAGUAGUUAAUAUCAUAGUGGGAGUUCAAAUUUGAUAUGGGUAUGGCUAAUUGUAGCGUAAGUGAGAUGGGUUUUUGACUUUUUGUUAAGAUGCCAACUGAUGCCAACUGUUUGACAAUGAUUCUCAGUUAGUACCUUUGCCGGCCGAUUGGUUCCUGAGAAAGCUAAAGAUUGAAGAUGCUGUUCUCUGAGCUGAGAUAUCAGCACCAAUAGCAAUAGAGCUCAAGGAAGUGAGACGGAUCAAGCAGGAAGAAAUAUUACGUGAUUGCAACCUAUGGGAUGACCCUGUCAAAUCUAAUGAAAUUCUUGGCAGAUUUGCUGAUAGUGCUAAAGCAAUUGAUGCCCUCAAAGACCUAAAAUAUAAGGUGAAGUACCACAGCUAUUAGUUUACAUAAGGUUUAUCAAAAGAAUUAUGUUACCUUUUCAGAGGGGAAAAUUAUUAGGGUAGCCCAUGUGAUGGAUGCAUAAGCCAUGGGAACUCAAACAUCUGUACAAAGCAUGUUAAUAACCUAUUCAUUAUGAAGUAUUAUAGUAUUUCUGUCUCCCAAAUUCAUGAAUAUCUGGCAUUCACGUGGAAAACAUGGCCUUCCAAGUGCCAACCAAUGCCAUGAGGUGAUCUACCUCUGCUUCAGUGGCUGUGGCCCUUAGGCUUAGCUCAGAUGAUCUGCUUCCAUUUACUUACAUUUCUUUUGUAUAUGACUCUGCAUGCAUGCUUGUCUGAUUAUUUCAGCUUCUGAAGCAUGUAUCAAAAAGUACUUCAUUCAAUUGGCACAUAUGUUUGAUUGAUUAUCUUUUAUGACGUUUACUUGACCAUUGUUAAGCUUACCACAAUUAUAAUCCGUGAUAGAACUAGAUGUUUACCUUUUUGGGGCCAAGCCAAAAUAGGAAUCUAUCUAUUCUGUCUUUUUCCCCCAUUUAUUUCAUGUUUCUAGCUAAUUCCUUAUAACAAUUGCUUGAUCACAAAAAUUCAUUUCUUGAUUCUGAUAAUUCAAAGACAAUAAAACUUUUGUGCUAUAUUUGAACCCUUCUAUUUCUCUAGUGAUCUCCUUUUGUCUUUUUGAUUAGGAAGAAGCAAAACAAAACUCCAAUAGGCUAUAUCAUAAUUACUUCUUUUAGGCAAAAAAUACAAAUACUUUAUUUAUUUCUUUAGGUUGAAGAGGCAAAACUGAUCUCACAAUUGGCAGAGGUGGAAGGCAUCAAUUAUCAACUUUUUAAGCAAGCAUAUAGUGCAUCUUUAGAUGUGAACAAGUUCUUGGAUCAGUAUGAGAUGAUGAAGCUUCUUAAGGGACCAUAUGACAUGGAGGGAGCUUGUGUAAUUAUUAAAGCUGGAUCUGGAGGCCUUAAUGAUGAGAAAUGGGCAGAAGAUCUUCUGAACAUGUAUAUCAAAUGGGCCAAAAAGCUGGGCUACAAAGGCAGGCUAGUUGAGAAGCAUCCUUCUAUGACUGGAUAUGGCUGUGUCCAGUUGGCAACUAUUGAGUUUGAAUUUGAGUGUGCAUAUGGCUAUCUCUCAGGAGAGAGAGGCAUUCAUUGCAUGAUAAAUUCUCAAAAUGGGCCUGUUCAAUAUGAGAAUAGCUCAGCAUGUGUGGAUGUUGUUCCUCUUUUUCUUGGAACGUUUUCUAAUCUUCAAAUCAAUGAUGAGGAUUUGAUUAUAUCAUCCUCACUGCUCAGAAAGGAGAAAAGCCCAACGAAACCGACAGUUUGCAUUCAGCAUAUACCUACUGGCAUAAGUGUCCAGUCCUCAAGUGAAAGGAGUCACUUUGCGAAUAAGAUAAAGGCCCUCAAUCGUUUAAAGGCUAAGCUUCUUGUGAUUGCAGAGGAGCAAAAUGUUUCUGAUAUAAGUAGUAUCAAGAAGGACACCAUUAUGGACAUGUGCCAUAAAGAGACUCGGAGGUACGUGUCUCAUCCUUACAAACUAGUUCAAGAUGUAAAAACUGGCAUCAAACUGCCAGACCUGAACUCUAUUUUGGAUGGAUAUAUUGAACCUCUUGUUGAAGCUCAUAUUAAAAUGAGACAUACAGAAUAAGAUAAUAUUGCUUUCAUAUAUUUCUUUUAGCUAUCACGUGAUUUUGGAAAUACCAGAGUUUCCCUGUUGGUUGAAUAGUUUUUCAGGCCAAGGAGUGCCUAUUAUUGGUUGAAUCAUGUGGGUUCUGUUUCUUUCCUUGUUCUCCUCAAUGUUGUAAGUGGAAAGCAAAAGAGAUAGGGGUAUUGUUGUUUCUUUGACAAGAAGGGGAUCUUAAUCCCUUUCACUGGUCAUUUUGGUCAUCAAAACAAGGUUUAAAAACAAUUGGCUCGUCAAAACCAUUAUGUGUUCUCUUGUUUGUAAGCCACUAGAUCUUCUUGAAUUAAGGUUGUUAAUUAAGAUUCACACAAGUGGCUCAUGGAAAUUUUCUUUUAUAGUAGAAGCUAAUAUAUUUUAUUGAGAUAAACAUUUGAUUAUUGGGCUAUCAUCCUAAUGUCUCAUGAAAUGUUACUAUUGAAAGCGCAAAGCUCUAUAUAUAUAUAUAAGCAAAAUCCAGCAUCAAAAUCAUUCAGCCCAGACCCAGAAUUCAUGCCAGAAUUUUUAGAAGUAGACAAAGAGUACACUGCAGAGCCAUAACUGGAACUCAUGCUAGCAUCAAAAUCUUUCCCCGUAUUGAGUUCUAUGGAUAGAACCUUGUCUGUUGGACCAACCAAAGCCUCUUCUGUAGAUUCUUGAUUUGAGCUGAGGGGAUUUUGUUUCUUUUUACCAGAAAUCUUAGAAUUUGCACUGUCCGUAUAAGAUUUACAAGGAUCAGAGUCAGUAAUGUUCACAGGAAAUCUUUGAACAGGAUCAAUCUUGGGUCACCUAAAACUGAGAAGAACAUCAGAAUCUUUGGUGUUCCUCUCAAUCUUAGGUCCCAC
rnacentral:misc_RNA from 1 species